UCCGUAGGCAGCGAGCGUUGUUCGGAGUUACUGGGCGUAAAGGGUGUGUAGGCGGUUGUUUAAGUUUGGUGUGAAAUCUCCCGGCUCAACUGGGAGGGGGCCAUCCAGACGGCGUGGCUUGAGGCUCGGAGGGGGGCGUGGAAUUCCGGGUGGAGCGGUGAAAUGCGUAGAGAUCCGGAGGAACACCGACGGCGAAGGCAGCGCCCUGGACGAGACCUGACGCUCAGGCACGAAAGCUGGGGGAGCAAACAGG
rnacentral:rRNA from 1 species